UACGUAGGGCGCAAGCGUUGUCCGGAAUUAUUGGGCGUAAAGAGCUCGUAGGCGGCUUGUCACGUCGGAUGUGAAAGCCCGAGGCUUAACCUCGGGUCUGCAUUCGAUACGGGCUAGCUAGAGUGUGGUAGGGGAGACUGGAAUUCCUGGUGUAGCGGUGAAAUGCGCAGAUAUCAGGAAGAACACCAAUGGCGAAAGCAGCUCUCUGGGACGGUACUGACGCUGAGACGCGAAAGCGUGGGGAGCGAACAGG
rnacentral:rRNA from 1 species